UUUAUGUUUUGUUGUUGUUUUAUUGGGUUGGUUGGCAAAUUACUGUUUUGUUGUUGUAUUUUAUUGAUUUGAUUCUUUUCGUUUUAGUUCAUUUGUACCGUGAGGGGUUAUUUAGUUUGCUUUUGUAAGUUGAUUUUAUUUGUUGUACCUUGUGUAUCAGGGUUUACUAAUUGUUAUUAUUUAUUUUUGUUUCCCGAUUUCGGAGGAGCUAAUUAUUUGUUUUAGUUACUGUUUCAACAGUAUUAAUAACAUUUAUUUGGUGGUGAUAUGUUAGUCGUUUCCGGGGAUAUCUGGUUUCUCAAGAAAUUAAUUUAAUUUACACUUUGUGUUUAGUUUUCAUUUUUGUUUGUUUGUCUUAAUGCAUGGUGAAGGUGCUGGGGGAUAAGCUCUGGUUCUUUUUUAUAAUGUUUGGGUAUGAUUUAUCUUGUGGGCUUUAUGUUGGCCAUCUUUAUGAGUAUUUUAAAAUUCUAUUUUUCGGGUUUGUGAUUUUCUUUGGUAUUUAAUGUUUUUAUUGGGAUGUUUGACUUAAUUUUUAAGUUGUGUUAUUUUUGGUUGAAUUAGUAUAUUUUGUUUUAGUUGGUUUGACUGCAUGCUAGGCCUUUCAAAGGAACUAGGCAAAUUAAGUGCCCGCCUGUUUAACAAAAACAUUUCUUCCUGUUUUUUGAUUUGAAGUAUGACCUGCCCACUGAUGGGAUUGAAGGGCCGCGGUAUCCUGACCGUGCAAAGGUAGCAUAAUCAUUAGUUUUUUAAUUGUGAGCUGGUAUGAAUGGUUUGACGAGGUAUUGACUGUCUUUGCUUUGGGUGCAUUGAACUUGUUGUUUGGGUAAAAAUACCUAAAUUUUUUUAUGGGACGAGAAGACCCUAUAGAGUUUUAUAUAAUGUGCUCUUUUUUGUUUGUUUGUUUUAGUGGGUUGUAUUGUAUUUUGUUGGGGUGAUGAGAAGGUAAGUGUAACCCUUCUUUUUUAAUUUCACUUGUUCGUGUUUUUGUGAUCCUUUAUUAUUGAUUACAAGAUUAAAUUACCUUAGGGAUAACAGCAUAAUCUUUUUUGAGAGUUCUUAUUGACAAAAGGGUUUGUGACCUCGAUGUUGGAUUAAGAUGAAUUUUUGGUGUAGAGGCUUUAUUAGUUUAAUUAGGUCUGUUCGACCUUUAAAAUCUUACAUGAUCUGAGUUCAGACCGGCGUGAGCCAGGUUGGUUUCUAUCUAUAAUUUUCUUUUAUUUCUUAGUACGAGAGGACCGGAUAUUUGAAAUAAUUUUUUUUGAUUGAAUUUUAUUAAU
rnacentral:rRNA from 1 species